AGAGUUGACGACGAAGAGGUUUUUUCCCAGGCGAAGAAAGCAUGCGAACUCUGCCUUCGGAAUCCAUCCAAAUACAAUUGUCCUAAAUGUAACAUUCUUUACUGUUCCUUGAACUGUUAUCGUAGUGAAUCUCAUUUGAAUUGUUCUGAAACUUUUUAUCAAAAUGAAGUAUUUCAG